GAUUUCUGGUUUGAUAUGCCUGGCCCGCCGCUUUACGCGUGUGUGUGCCGGUGCGUGUCUUCCAUCCUUCUGGAAAACGUGUCUAGCCUUAACUGGUUCGGAUACGCGAUCCAGAUCAUUUACUUUGAAAAAAUUAGAGUGUUUAAAGCAGGCUUUUUGCUAUGAAUACAUUAGCAUGGAAUAAUAAUUUAGGACUUCGGUUCUAUUUUGUUGGUUUCUAGGACUGAAGUAAUGAUUGAUAGGGAUAGUUGGGGGUGCUAGUAUUCAGCGGCCAGAGGUGAAAUUCUCGGAUUCGCUGAAGACUAACUUAUGCGAAAGCAUU
rnacentral:rRNA from 1 species